UUACAGUUCAAGAUUUCCAAAGGAUUUCAGUGUAUCUUGCCGCUUACAUUUUGAAAAAUAUAUUUUAUCUCAAAAACCAAAGUGCCUACUGCAAGCACCGAUUCCUAAAAAUAUAAUAACAAAACCAGUGUGUGGGAACCAACUUCUGGAAGUAGGAGAAGACUGUGAUUGCGGCUCCCCUAAGAAAUGUACCAACCCUUGCUGUGAUGCCACUACCUGUAAAUUAAAAUCUGAAACCGAUUGUGGAGAAGACACUCUGAACCAUACCAUACAAUGAAUCUGAACAUCUACUUCAUUGAAAUGCUACUUGCCAGGCCAAGAAUCAAGAAAUCUAAAUAUGCCAGGAAACUUGUGUAUUUUCAUGGUUGUACUUAAAUAUAUUUUGCUUUUCACUUGUCAUUAUACUUCCUGUAUUUUUACCAGUCUAACCAAUGGGUAAAUAGAUGUACUUGGAGAAGCUGCCUGUUUUCUAAGACCUGAUCUUUAGUGUAUUUUUAAGGAUUGCUUAGCUCUGCACUUUGAAGAACAAAAGAAAUUAGCCUUUGAUCAAAACACCUCAAAAUGCAGCACUGAACUAUUCAGGCUCUAUUCAGAAUUAUAAAUUUAUGAGUAACCUGUAAUUUAACCCCCUUUAAUUCUACCCCUAUAGCCCAUGAAAUAAGACCACUUAAUGAGCCUUUGGAAGGAAGGAAGGAGAGUAGAAUUCAUAGGUCAUUUAUUACUCUUCAGGAUCCCACCUGGGUCAUAGAGAUGAGACAUUUUUCUAUAUCAUAUCAAAAUUAAUUAAAUAUACACACUUGUCAUUAUACCAUCACAUAUAAGGUUACUUAUGAGAAGUCUGCAUUGCUUACAUUUUAGUUUAGUCACCAAGAAAAAUGCUUCAUUUAUCCAUUGAUUUAAUGAACCUUAAUGUCAGUGAAUAAAGACACAACUUUUUGGGGUC